ACGAAGGGUGCAAGCGUUGCUCGGAUUUACUGGGCGUAAAGCGACCGCAGGCGGUCUGAUAGGUCGGGUGUGAAAGCCCAGGGCUCAACCCUGGAACUGCAUUCGAAACCCUCAGACUUGAGUAUGGGAGAGGAGGGCGGAAUUCCUGGUGUAGAGGUGAAAUUCGUAGAUAUCAGGAGGAACGCUCGCGGCGAAGGCGGCUCUCUGGCCCAAUACUGACGCUCAUGGUCGAAAGCAUGGGUAGCGAACGGG
rnacentral:rRNA from 1 species